AACAAAGGUCAAAAUGUCUUGGAGGCACCAGGUCGUGUCUGAUUUUGGAAGCUAAACAAGAUUAGACCUGGUUGGUAUGUGGAUUAGGGUUGUGCAUGGUUCCGUUUUUGAAAACGGGCUCCGACUGUUU
rnacentral:rRNA from 11 species